AUUGAACGCUGGCGGCAGGCCUAACACAUGCAAGUCGAACGAGUGGCGGACGGGUGAGUAAUGUCUGGGAAACUGCCCGAUGGAGGGGGAUAACUACUGGAAACGGUAGCUAAUACCGCAUACCAUCGGAUGUGCCCAGAUGGGAUUAGCUAGUAGGUGGGGUAAAGGCUCACCUAGGCGACGAUCCCUAGCUGGGCUGGGAGGAUGACGAGCCACAUUGGAACUGAGAAGCGGUCCAGCCUCCUACGGAAGGCAGCAGUGGGGAAUAUUGCACAAUGGGCGCAAGCCUGAUGCAGCCAUGCGGGGUGUAUGAAGAAGGCCUUCGGGUUGUAAAGUACUUUCAGCGGGGAGGCGUUACCCGCAGAAGAAGCACCGGCUAACUCCGUGCCAGCAGCCGCGGUAAUAC
rnacentral:rRNA from 1 species